AUAGCCAACAACGAAUAUAUAAAACGAUAUAAAUUUGUCGAAAAAUUAUUUCUUUAAAGAAAGCAGAUUUUAUUAGAGAAGAUAAGUAUAUAAAAGAAAUUCUUAAAAUUAAGAAAACUAUUGAAAAUAAUGAUUUAAAACAAAAAAUAACAGCUGCAAAUAAGAAUCGAGAAAUAUGUUGAAACAAUUCAACUUCUGAAACAUUUUUUUGGAGAAAAAUAACGACGUAAAUCAAAGUGAUACUAUCAUACAAGAUAAUCUAUAUUUUAUUCAGAUAUGAAAAAUUCUAAUUAAGUAUAAGAAAAAUUUAUAAUUAUAUUAUUAAAGGUUUCUUUAUAAGUGACUUGAAAUCUAAAUUAAAUGCGUAAAAGAAAAAAUUGCUCAAAAUGAUGCAAGACAAGUUUAAUCCAAUUUAUAAGUUUCUAUAUUAAUAAUUUUCAGCUAUUUCUAAAACUCAGAAGUCAUUUUGUUGAAAUAAGAACAGGUUUGUACAAUGAAGUUGAUAAUGAAAAUAUAAGAAUUAUGUUUUGUUUCAUCUAUAUCUGUACAAUUUACACAGAGAGAAAUACAGUGACGAUUUGCUUCGGAAAUGCGUUACGAAUUUUAAUGACGAUGAAGCUUCUACCCUCCUGGCUACUGCGUCGCUUUACAGAUGCGUGGGUAUGAAAAGGUGUCAUGUUUCCAGGGUUUCACGCUCAACCCUCUGGGGAUCGGCAAACCACUUAGUUGUUUCCUAUCGAAAGUUGUUUGAACAUUUAUCGUGGCAAUUAUUAGUUUAUUAGUUAUCCCAACACUACUUUCUAUUCAUUAAAAUACUCGCAACAUAAAGAAGAGAAGCGAGAAAACAUACAAUUUAACACCGGGCACAGCUUCUAACAGGAUCUUUGUGCAACGAACAGAGCAAAUAUAGUUGGAUCUAAACGUGUUCGCAAUUCAUGAACCCUGCUAAUUAUGUUUGACUUAUAAAUUUGAAAUAAAUUCAUGAAAUGGUAUAGAGAAAGAAGAUUGUGUGAGAAAUUAUAAUGCGUAUUCUUCGUGUUAUUUCACAUCUUCUGUGUCACCUUAGA